CAUCAAAGCACCAGUAUGAAUGAUAUAUUUACAUGUUUUGUGUUGUUAACAAGCAUCAGCCAACUGAAGCAGAUCGCAGAUUACCAGAUAUGAAUAUCACAUAUGUAAUGAUAUAUAAGCAUGCAAAUUCUAUCUGGCAAGAUUUCAUUUGCAUGUCUAAGCAUAAUGUUAAGAAGGGCAGGUCUGAUAAGCAUAAUGUUAAGGACAUUUCUUGUGUAGGGGUGAGAACUCUCACUGAGUCACCUGAGCGUGGGCUUGAAGCAGUCUGUCUUGUGGAGAGAAGGUUUGCUUCCUUUUAUCCUUUUUCCAGACCCUCGACACUAGAUCUGCUCGUCUUAUGCCUUCUUGGGGACAACUUCA
rnacentral:misc_RNA from 1 species